rnacentral:SRP_RNA from 1 species
UGGCAGGCUAGAUCGGAGGGUUAGCCGUCCUCUGUAACCAUCAAUCGGCUUCAGGUGGGAUCGAAGCUCAGAGAGAGGUGCAUGCCAUGGGAAGUGGUCCUGGCUUGGCCGAUGAUAUUCUGUCCUGCAGGAUUGAUUCCUUAGGGAAUCGUGUCAGGCCUUGACGGGAGCAGCACUAACCUUUGGAAUUGAUGCUUGCAGGGUAGCGGAAUUGAGAAAAAGCUGGGGCAAGCCACAACCCAUGGGGUGUAUCCAUCUUUGGGCGCGCCUGCCA